AACGUAGGUUCCGAGCGUUAUCCGGAUUUACUGGGCGUAAAGGGCGCGUAGGCGGCCACCGCAAGUCGACUGUGAAAUCUCCGGGCUUAACCCGGAAAGGUCAGCCGAUACUGCGGGGCUAGAGUGCAGAAGGGGCAACUGGAAUUCUCGGUGUAGCGGUGAAAUGCGUAGAUAUCGAGAGGAACACCUGCGGCGAAGGCGGGUUGCUGGGCUGACACUGACGCUGAGGCGCGGAAGCUAGGGGAGCGAACGGG
rnacentral:rRNA from 1 species